GUAGCUGAGCAGCCAAUCAGAAUCAUCAGAUGGCCCGACUGCCCGACGAGCUCCAACGCCGAUUCAACAUUUCGAAUCGGCCGAAAAAAGGCCGACGAGGACCAAUUUCAGCCGACGGAUGUCCGCGAAAAACAAACACACUCCUCACCCAUGACAGACUCGUCAUGAAGAUGAAAGCCCACAAGAGCAUGAUAUGUUAACUUUUCUUCUUUUUUUCUCUUUAUGUUUUAUUCUGAUGUUAUUUGCAAGAUAUAAAGCUACGUUUUAGUUUACAAGUUUACAUAAAAAUACGUGAGCAAGCGUUCAUUUUCUGGCAUUUUCCUCCUGCAGCGUGGUGAAGAUGAAAAUGCGAGGACGGAUUAGGCCUACGUGAAAUUGAAGGGGAAGUGUCGUUGUGAAGACGAAAGACAUACGUGAAAUUGACGGGCUGAACCAUCGUGAGAGACAGGGGGAAGAGUCGUCGAAAUAAAGAAGACCCUUUUCUUUAUAGCAGUGGUUCCCAAACUUUUUAGAGUGGAGUACCUCCUGAUGGGAAUACCAUCCUUCUGCGUACCCCCUCUCUUCCUUUUAGACUGCUGUCACACCUUUAUCAUUAAGGGACAAUAUUUGCCCCCUAAAUUGAUUUUCCAGUGCAUAUUUUUACCUUUUAUGAAUAACUAUAAAAUAAAUAAUGUUUUAAAUAAAAAUGUUCAAUAGAGAAAU